UACAGAGGCCUCAAGCGUUAAUCGGAUUCAUUGGGCUUAAAGGGUGCGCAGGCGGAGCCGCAAGUACUUUGUGAAAUCCCCUGGCUCAACCAGGGAAUUGCUUGGUAGACUGCGGUUCUUGAGGUCGGCAGAGGUUGCCGGAACUCUAGGUGGAGCGGUGAAAUGCGUAGAUAUCUAGGGGAACGCCAAAGGCGAAGGCAAGCAACUGGGCCGAUUCUGACGCUCAUGCACGAAAGCGUGGGGAGCGAACGGG
rnacentral:rRNA from 1 species